GUAAGAGGGCAGGGUGCUCUUAUCUUCUGAAGAUUCUCAUAUUCUUCUCAGAACAUGGAAGAAGAUGCCGAGAGUUGAGGACAUGCCGAGCAUCACCCUUCACAGCGCCACAGCCUCUCCAAAUGCAGAGUUCGUCCGCUGGAAGGUACAUGGAGAUUUCGUCUCUCAGCUGAAUUACUAUGACUCUGUGAAAGCUGUCAUUUCCAGCUCCAAUCAUGAGCCCACGGCUUUAGUGAUAGGCUCUCUCCUAAGCCACUUGGAACAUGGAGGUGAGUGUCCUGGAGAAGCAACAGGAAUCAGGAGACCCUGCUGAGUGUAUUGAGGAUCCUCUAGCUUCAUCCUCAGGUCAGACCUGGGCUGGACAUUGAUGCAACCAUUGGAUCUGAUUGUUGACAGGAUUCAUAAGUCAACCAAUUGUUCAGUUGAACACAUCUCUCCAAAUCAAUGGAGGAAAAAAAA